AUUUCAAAAAAGGAAAGAGAGCUGAUAAUGGCAGGAUCCAGCUGCUUAAUCAAUAGAGUGGUGGCCUUCAAGGUAUUGUCUUCGUCAACCUUAAGGGAGGGCCUAAAAGAAUACCUUAGUGGCAUUUAGAACACCAGUUGCCUGGAUUUUGGUUUCUAAAGUAAAAUUCAUCAUGAAAAAAGGAAGAAGGCUUCUUAGAGAAAUGGUUGAUUCCUGGUCUGGGACAGGAAAGCACAUGGUGAGACUGAGUUAUCAUGUGCCAGAAUAAAGUUGAUAUAAAAAAUGACACAAGACCAUCUGGAAGGGGCUCCCUCUUGACAUAUUUGAUCAUUUGAGCACCAGAAAAGUAUAAUGAUA